rnacentral:tRNA from 8 species
UGCGGGGUGGAGCAGUCUGGUAGCUCGUCGGGCUCAUAACCCGAAGGUCACAGGUUCAAAUCCUGUCCCCGCUACCA